rnacentral:rRNA from 1 species
CCAGGGGGGAGCCUACACAUGCAGUCGAGCGAGAACUUCGGUUCUAGCGGCGGACGGGUUAGUAACGCGUGGGAACGUGCCCUUCACUACGGAAUAGUCCCGGGAAACUGGGUUUAAUACCGUAUACGCCCUUCGGGGGAAAGAAUUUCGGUGAAGGAUCGGCCCGCGUUAGAUUAGAUAGUUGGUGGGGUAACGGCCUACCAAGUCUACGAUCUAUAGCUGGUUUUAGAGGAUGAUCAGCAACACUGGGACUGAGACACGGCCCAGACUCCUACGGGAGGCAGCAGUGGGGAAUCUUAGACAAUGGGCGCAAGCCUGAUCUAGCCAUGCCGCGUGAGUGAUGAAGGCCUUAGGGUCGUAAAGCUCUUUCGCCAGGGAUGAUAAUGACAGUACCUGGUAAAGAAACCCCGGCUAACUCCGUGCCAGCAGCCGCGGUAAUACGGAGGGGGUUAGCGUUGUUCGGAAUUACUGGGCGUAAAGCGCGCGUAGGCGGAUUGGAAAGUUGGGGGUGAAAUCCCAGGGCUCAACCCUGGAACUGCCUCCAAAACUAUCAGUCUAGAGUUCGAGAGAGGUGAGUGGAACUCCGAGUGUAGAGGUGAAAUUCGUAGAUAUUCGGAAGAACACCAGUGGCGAAGGCGGCUCACUGGCUCGAUACUGACGCUGAGGUGCGAAAGUGUGGGGAGCAAACAGGAUUAGAUACCCUGGUAGUC